GACCCGGCACAUUGGGACUGAGACACUGCCCAGACUCCUACGGGAGGCUGCAGUAACGAAUAUUGCACAAUGGGCGCAAGCCUGAUGCAGCGACGCCGCGUGUGGGAGUAAGCCCUUCGGGGUGUAAACCACUGUCAGGGACUACCAAGCAAUGGAGGUGAAUAAUCUCCUGCGUUGAGGCGUCCCAGAGGAAGUCACGGCUAACUUCGUGCCAGCAGCCGCGGUAAUACGAAGGUGGCAAGCGUUGUUCGGAAUCACUGGGCUUAAAGAGCACGUAGGCGGACUGUCAAGCGUCUUGUGAAAUCCCUCGGCUUAACCGAGGAAUUGCUGGGCGAACUGACAGUCUUGAGGCAAGUAGGGGCGCACGGAACUCUUGGUGGAGCGGUGGAAUGCGUAGAUAUCAAGAGGAACGCCAGAGGCGAAGGCGGUGCGCUGGGCUUGACCUGACGCUGAGGUGCGAAAGCCAGGGGAGCGAACGGGAUUAGAUACCCCGGUAGUCCUGGCCAUAAACGAUGUCUACUAGAUCUGAGGUGUUCUGACACACUUCUGGUCGAAACAAAAGCGUUAAGUAGACCGCCUGGGGAGUACGGUCGCAAGGCUAAAACUCAAAGGAAUUGACGGGGGCUCACACAAGCGGUGGAGCAUGUUGCUUAAUUCGAUGCAACGCGAAGAACCUUAUCCUGGGCUUGACAUGCUUGGAUGCCCAUCUAGAAAUAGAGUAGGCUGCCCUUCGGGGUGAAACUUGCACAGGUGCUGCAUGGCUGUCGUCAGCUCGUGUCGUGAGAUGUUGGGUUAAGUCCCGUAACGAGCGAAACCCUUGUCGUUAGUUGCCAGCGAGUAAAGUCGGGGACUCUAACGAGACUGCCGGUGUUAAACCGGAGGAAGGUGGGGAUGACGUCAAGUCCUCAUGGCCUUUAUGCCCAGGGCUGCAAACGUGCUACAAUGGCGUGUACAAACCGACGCAAGACCGCGAGGUGGAGCAAAUCGGAAAAAGCACGCCCCAGUUCGGAUUGGAGUCUGCAACUCGACUCCAUGAAGUUGGAAUCGCUAGUAAUCGCAGAUCAGCAAUGCUGCGGUGAAUGUGUUCAUGAGCAUUGUACACACCGCCCGUCAAGUCAUGGAAGCCGGGAGCACCCGAAGUCGGGGU
rnacentral:rRNA from 1 species